rnacentral:rRNA from 1 species
AGAGUUUGAUCCUGGCUCAGGACGAACGCUGGCGGCGUGCCUAACACAUGCAAGUCGAGCGGAGAAAAGUGGAUGGUAACUGAAGCUUUUCUUAGCGGCGGACGGGUGAGUAACGCGUGGGCAACCUGCCCUAUACAGGGGGAUAACACUAAGAAAUUGGUGCUAAUACCGCAUAACAUAUCUUUGCUGCAUGGUGAGGA